UCUACUAUUGAGCUUGGAGCUCUCCAGUUCAGGCACCAAUGAGAAUUUUCUGCAGCUUGGAUUGUAGAAGAUCCACUGCCAAUAAGAAAGCUGAGAUAUUCCCUCUUUCUAGAGUUGCCAAAACUUUUUAAGAUGAUGCAGCAGUAUGUGUUGAACUCUGACUUAUCUUUUUUUGACAAAUAAUGAAGGGAGACUUUUCCCCCAGAUUUAAUGAUUGGAACCAGAAUAAGUACAAAUGUGGGAAGUAUUCACAAAGGAGCUGGAGUUACAAAACAGCUAGAAUUGGCUGCAAGCUACCAAUCAGCAAGAAUGGAAUCACUAUGAGCAAUAGAGACCAAUUAGGCCAGCACUGCCCAAAGUUCUCUGUGAGUCGCUGUUGUUCUAACCGAGCACAUCUUUCCCCACUGUUUUAAAGGUUUGGAGUGUUUUUUUUUUUUGGGAGGAUUUUACUAGUAGAGGAGUUCAUUCGAACGAAUAUUCUCGUAUUCAGUUCUUGCCAAAUCUGUGAGAAAAGAGCCAUUGUAUGCUGAUCCCAAGCUUUUCUGAACGAC
rnacentral:lncRNA from 1 species